GAUGAACGCUAGCGAUAGGCUUAACACAUGCAAGUCGAGGGGCAGCACGAGGUAGCUUGCUAUCUGGGUGGCGACCGGCGCACGGGUGCGUAACGCGUAUGCAACUUGCCCUAUACAGGAGGAUAACCCGUCGAAAGACGGACUAAUACUGCGUAUGCUCACAGCUUGGCAUCAAGUGGUGAGGAAAGAAAUUCGGUAUAGGAUAGGCAUGCGUCCCAUUAGCUUGUUGGUGAGGUAACGGCUCACCAAGGCAACGAUGGGUAGGGGAACUGAGAGGUUUAUCCCCCACACUGGUACUGAGACACGGACCAGACUCCUACGGGAGGCAGCAGUGAGGAAUAUUGGUCAAUGGGCGGGAGCCUGAACCAGCCAAGUCGCGUGAAGGAUGACUGUCUUAUGGAUUGUAAACUUCUUUUAUACGGGAAUAACAAGAGUCACGUGUGACUCCCUGCAUGUGCCGUAUGAAUAAGCAUCGGCUAACUCCGUGCCAGCAGCCACGGUAAUACGGAGGAUGCGAGCGUUAUCCGGAUUUAUUGGGUUUAAAGGGUGCGUAGGCGGUUUGUUAAGUCAGCGGUGAAAUCUAGAGGCUCAACCUCGAAACUGCCGUUGAAACUGGCGAACUUGAGUGUAGAUGAGGUAGGCGGAAUUCGUGGUGUAGCGGUGAAAUGCAUAGAUAUCACGAGGAACUCCGAUUGCGAAGGCAGCUUACUAAGGUACAACUGACGCUGAAGCACGAAAGCGUGGGUAUCAAACAGGAUUAGAUACCCUGGUAGUCCACGCAGUAAACGAUGAUAACUGGGCGUAUGCGAUAUACAGUAUGCUCCUAAUCGAAAGCGUUAAGUUAUCCACCUGGGGAGUACGCCGGCAACGGUGAAACUCAAAGGAAUUGACGGGGGCCCGCACAAGCGGAGGAACUUGUGGUUUAAUUCCAUGAUACGCGAGGAACCUUACCCGGGAUUGAAAUGUAUAUGACAGGGGGUGAAAGCUGCUCUCCCUUCGGGGCAUCUAUGUAGGUGCUGCAUGGUUGUCCUCAGCUCGUGCCGUGAGGUGUCCGCCUUAAGUGCCAUAACGAGCGCAACCCCUGUUCUACUGUUGCCCCCACGUGAAGCUGGGAACUCCUUAUAGACUGCCCUCACAAGAGCGUGAAGAUAGGGGGGAUAAACUCAUAUCAGUCGCGGCCCCUUACUCUAGGGCGAACAACGUUUUAUAUUGGUAUGGCACAAAGGCAACCACUUUGUCACUUAGUACUAAAUCCCUAAAUCCGCUUACCAAUUCUCUAUUGGAAGUCUACUAUUCGAACUCCCUUAAUGUUGAUUUCGCUCAUAAUCCCCCAUCUGCCAUGGCGCCGGUCAAUACUUCUCCCGGUCU
rnacentral:rRNA from 1 species